UACAGAGGUCCCAAGCGUUGUUCGGAUUCACUGGGCGUAAAGGGUGCGUAGGCGGUCGGGUAAGUCUGAUGUGAAAUCUCACAGCUUAACUGUGAAACUGCAUUGGAUACUAUCCGGCUAGAGGAAUGGAGGGGAGACUGGAGUACUUGGUGUAGCAGUGAAAUGCGUAGAUAUCAAGUGGAACACCAGUGGCGAAGGCGAGUCUCUGGACAUUUCCUGACGCUGAGGCACGAAAGCCAGGGGAGCAAACGGG
rnacentral:rRNA from 1 species